GAGGGUCGAGACUUUCCAAAAGAAGAUAGGAAACAUAUGUCGGGGCAUUAACCAUUUGUGUAUUUGGAUUCGUAACCCGUUUUGUCCGGGUCCUGCCCCAGUCUACUUGCGAUGUGUGCCUCUAUAGCCUCUUCUCUAUUGCUGUAUCUAUAGAUGUAGACUGUUCUCUCGCGUGUUCACCAAAAAAACAACAGCACAAAUCUUGAAAUAAAAACGAAGAAAGAAAGAAAAUAAAAAGUCCCCCUUGAUCCUCGGGUUCUUUGUAAUUUAUGACACUCCCAAUUUAAGACCCUCUUCACCUUUUUAUCUACGUAUCUAUCUGUCCUUUUUA
rnacentral:lncRNA from 1 species